UCUUUAAGAUCUCUUAAUUUGAUAGCCGUAGUGGAAAACAUCGAUUGACACAUUUCCUUUUUACAUUAUAAAGAUGUUCUUAUCCAAAAAUAUAACAUUAGUUUUCUUAUAAAUCCAAAAAUGAAGUUUAUGACCAGCUAUCAUUUGAGCCUGCAGCCAGGCAGGGAUGGUGUCUUUGCUUGGUUUUGGUCUUAGACACCAAAUUCUUAAAUUAGCACUGCGUGUUACUUUUUGCCAAAUAGGGAGCAUCAAAAUCAGAGAACAAGAGGACAAGUAAAAUAAGAUAUACAAAGAGAAGAAAACGAGUUUAAUAGAGAACUGUUUGUGAUUGGAAAGGAGUGGUGUAGGGGUAGGGGAUUAGUACUAUUGGGUUGUCAGUUGAGAAGAAUGGGGGAAGCAGUUCUUGGCUGGCAUGUCUUUCAACAUCAUGCACAGUUUUGGGGAGAUUUCUUUGAUGUGUAUCUACUCUAGAUGACUCAAUGGACAACUUUGAUUUAAUCCUGAAUGCUUAGCUCUAAUCCCAUCUGCACAAUUGAAAUUCAUGUGUUGAAGUGUGUGACCGUCUUAUCUAAAGGUUUAAGCCGUAAGAGAGAGCACACUUUUACAUACUUUUAUUAUAUUCUCAACACGCCGCCUCACGUGUGGAAUCCACAAUAAUUUGUUCUCCCGUGUUGCUCGUCAAUAUCUAUAAACUGACCUUAUACCUUGUCUCUUCCAGUUUUCACUUUGAAGAAUUUGAUCUCCCAAGAUGAAACCCCAACUGCUGGCAAUGUUUCACAGAAGUCUCGCCUCUCUUUGUUAUCUCCCUUUCGAAGCAAGACUAGUGAGAAAAGGUGCCAGCAUUCAGUAUCAAGAUUAUUCAAGUGCUCCUCUGGUUGUCAGCUGGAGGUGUGAUUAGUCACACAGCUGUUUAUGACUUCCCAAAACAGUUCCUUUCGUAAAUUUAGUUACUGUAAAGAUGUGUUGUGUUAAGAUGAGAAAUGUAUAUACUUUCGACUCUAUGUCAACUUUCAAUGUACUCUACAGUUUGGAUUUGAUAGUAGGUGUUUUGCAGUGAAAUUUUUGGAAGUUCCUAUUGUA